rnacentral:rRNA from 1 species
AACGCGAAGAACCUUACCUGGGCUUGAUAUCCUAAGGACCUCUUAGAGAUAAGAGGGUGCUAGCUUGCUAGAACUUAGAGACAGGUGCUGCACGGCUGUCGUCAGCUCGUGUCGUGAGAUGUUCGGUUAAAUCCGGCAACGAGCGCAACCCACGUAUUUAGUUGCUAACAGUUUGGCUGAGCACUCUAAAUAUACUGCCUUCGUAAGGAGGAGGAAGGUGUGGACGACGUCAAGUCAUCAUGGCCCUUAUGCCCAGGGCGACACACGUGCUACAAUGGCAUAUACAAUGAGACGCAAUACCGCGAGGUGGAGCAAAUCUAUAAAAUAUGUCCCAGUUCGGAUUGUUCUCUGCAACUCGAGAGCAUGAAGCCGGAAUCGCUAGUAAUCGUAGAUCAGCCAUGCUACGGCGAAUACGUUCCCGGGUCUUGUACACACGC